AUUGAACGCUGGCGGCAGGCCUAACACAUGCAAGUCGAACGAGUGGCGGAAGGGUGGGUAAUGUAUGGGAAACUGCCUGAUGGAUGGGGAUCACUAAUGGGAACGAUUGCUAAUACCGCAUAGAAUCAGCUGUGUCCGGGUGGGAUGAGCUAGUUGGUGGGGUAACGGCUCACCAAGGCCAAGAUCCCGAGCUGGUCUGAGAGGAUGACCAGCCACCCUGGAACUGAGACACGGUCCAGACUCCUACGGGAGGCAGCAGUGGGGAAUAUUGGACAAUGGGCGCAAGCCUGAUGCAGCCAUGCCGCGUGUAUGAAGAAGGCCUUCGGGUUGUAAAGUACUUUCAGCUGGGAGGCGUUACCCACAGAAGAAGCACCGGCUAACUCCGUGCCAGCAGCCGCGGUAAUAC
rnacentral:rRNA from 1 species